UACCAGCGGCCCUAGUGGUGAUCGUUAUUAUUGGGCCUAAAGCGUCCGUAGCCGGUUCGGUAAAUCUCUGGGUAAAUCGUUGGGCUUAACUCAGCGAAUUCUGGGGAGACUGCCGAACUUGGGACCGGGAGAGGUCGGAGGUACUCCAGGGGUAGGGGUGAAAUCCUGUAAUCCUUGGGGGACCACCGGUGGCGAAAGCGUCCGACCAGAACGGGUCCGACGGUAAGGGACGAAGCCCUGGGUCGCGAACCGG
rnacentral:rRNA from 1 species